UUGGCAUAUGAUGAGAAGCAGGACAAGAUCACCUGCCGCAUUCCUGAUCCAAAUCAGGGACGCAAUAGCAUGAUGACUCUGUCUAGGGGAAUCUCUGAUGCUAA
rnacentral:snoRNA from 10 species